GAACGGAGAAUUGCUAGCUUGCUAAUAAUUCUCUAGUGGCGCACGGGUGAGUAACACGUGAGUACCUGCCCCCAAGAGUGGGAUAGCCCCGGGAAACUGGGAUUAAUACCGCAUAAAGCAAUAAAGCAGCAAUGCGCUUGGGGAUGGGCUCGCGUCCUAUUAGUUAGUUGGUGAGGUAACGGCUCACCAAGGCGAUGACGGGUAGCCGGUCUGAGAGGAUGUCCGGCCACACUGGAACUGAGACACGGUCCAGACACCUACGGGUGGCAGCAGUCGAGAAUCAUUCACAAUGGGGGAAACCCUGAUGGUGCGACGCCGCGUGGGGGAUAAGGUCUUCGGAUUGUAAACCCCUGUCAUGUGGGACAUUAAAAAGAUAGUACCACAAGAGGAAGAGACGGCUAACUCUGUGCCAGCAGCCGCGGUAAUACAGAGGUCUCAAGCGUUGUUCGGAAUCACUGGGCGUAAAGCGUGCGUAGGCGGUUUCGUAAGUCGUGUGUGAAAGGCGGGGGCUCAACCCCCGGACUGCACAUGAUACUGCGAGACUAGAGUAAUGGAGGGGGAACCGGAAUUCUCGGUGUAGCAGUGAAAUGCGUAGAUAUCGAGAGGAACACUCGUGGCGAAGGCGGGUUCCUGGACAUUAACUGACGCUGA
rnacentral:rRNA from 1 species